GAAAUGCGAUAAGUAAUGUGAAUUGCAGAAUUCAGUGAAUCAUCGAAUCUUUGAACGCACAUUGCGCCCCCCGGUAUUCCGGGGGGCAUGCCUGUCCGAGCGUCAUUACUGCCCUCAAGCGCGGCUUGUGUGUUGGGCCCUCGCCCCCUCUCCCCGGGGGGGCGUGCCCGAAAGGCAGUGGCGGCGUCGUGCCCGGACCUCGAGCGUAUAGGGCUUUGUCACCCGCUCUGGAGGCCCGGCCGGCGACCGCCGACCCAACCCAACCUUACCACCGGUUGACCUCGGAUCAGGCAGGGAUACCCGCUGAACUUAA
rnacentral:misc_RNA from 1 species